rnacentral:rRNA from 1 species
GAUCCUGGCUCAGGAUAAACGCUAGCGGCAGGCCUAACACAUGCAAGUCGAGGGGCAGCGUAACGGGUAGCAAUACCUGUUGACGGCGACCGGCGCACGGGUGCGUAACGCGUAUGUAACCUACCGUUCACAGGGGGAUAGUCAGAGGAAACUUUGAAUAAUACCGCAUAAAACAGGGGUCCGGCAUCGGAAUAUUUGUUAAAGGUGGCGACACGGUGAACGAUGGGCAUGCGUUCGAUUAGAUAGUUGGAGAGGUAACGG